ACUAGAUGUACAGGCUAACCGGAGGGGGAAAAAAGAGAAAAAUACACAGGAAUCCAUUACCUAACAUGCGCUAGAUGAUACACAAUCUCUACUUAACCCUGCUGUAUCUGGAACUACACAGAAGGAGAUACACUGAAGAAAUGACAACCUGCCCUACAAGGAACAAGACCUUCAAGGGACAGAAUUUAAAGCCAUAAAUCACCACAGAGACAGGUGACCUCAAAGGCUCCUUGGCAGUCUGUGUGGAAACCCUGGGAGCAAGAUGCUAACCCUCCACAGCCCAUGCAAGAAGGAGGAUCAGAGAUGUGCUGGGCUUGUGCAAGAACAACAGUCCUGGUAAACAAAAUGCAGAUCACAUCUGUAAACUGCUCAACAGAGAUGACGGUGUUACCUUCAUACAAGUUGAAAUUGGAAAAGGAAACGUCAAGCUAGUGUCUCAAAUGUUUCUUAAAUUCACACAUUACUGUCUUCAUUGCUCAAUAAUCUUCAGUGAAUCCAGAGGGAAGACAGCACUCCGGAGAAUCACAUUAAUCUCUCAGUCAACUCCAGCAGCACAACUUGGAAUGGCUUGUUAGCUGAUGAGGUCUUUAAGCUUCUCAGAGGCUCUGUAACUAGACACCUUGAAACCCGCUACUGAUAAUGCCUUUGUUCUGACUUCCAACUAACACAAGAGUUUUCGUAUUGUAGUUGCUCAAAGGAUCAGACUGUUACAGCACUCGGCACUUACCUCUGCUGAAGCACAAAGAACGGCCAGAUCUUGUACUCCAGCACAAUGACGAAUAGCUCGUGCACUACAGCUUCUGGCAAAGAAUACGGACUUACCACACUUAGAGGAUGGUCACCAAGCUUCAUUACUUUAU